rnacentral:rRNA from 1 species
GAUGAACGCUGGCGGCGUGCCUAAUACAUGCAAGUAGAACGCUGAAGGAAGGAGCUUGCUCUUUCCGGAUGAGUUGCGAACGGGUGAGUAACGCGUAGGUAACCUGCCUGGUAGCGGGGGAUAACUAUUGGAAACGAUGGCUAAUACCGCAUAACAGUAGAUGUUGCAUGACAACUAUUUGAAAGGGGCAAUUGCUCCACUACCAGAUGGACCUGCGUUGUAUUAGCUAGUUGGUGAGGUAACGGCUCACCAAGGCGACGAUACAUAGCCGACCUGAGAGGGUGAUCGGCCACACUGGGACUGAGACACGGCCCAGACUCCUACGGGAGGCAGCAGUAGGGAAUCUUCGGCAAUGGACGGAAGUCUGACCGAGCAACGCCGCGUGAGUGAAGAAGGUUUUCGGAUCGUAAAGCUCUGUUGUAAGAGAAGAACGAGUGUGAGAGUGGAAAGUUCACACUGUGACGGUAUCUUACCAGAAAGGGACGGCUAACUACGUG